GUGAGGAAUAUUGCGCAAUGGAGGCAACUCUGACGCAGCCAUGCCGCGUGCAGGAAGAAGGCGCUACGCGUUGUAAACUGCUUUUAACCGGGAAGAAACCCCAGGACGUGUCCUGGGUUGACGGUACCGGAGGAAUAAGCACCGGCUAACUUCGUGCCAGCAGCCUCGGUAAUACGAAGGGUGCAAGCGUUAUCCGGAUUCAUUGGGUUUAAAGGGUGCGUAGGCGGAGCGUUAAGUCAGUGGUGAAAUCCUGCAGCUUAACUGUAGACUUGCCAUUGAUACUGGCGCUCUUGAGUGCGCUUGAAGUGGGCGGAAUGUGCCGUGUAGCGGUGAAAUGCUUAGAUAUGGCACAGAACACCAAUUGCGAAGGCAGCUCACUAAGGCGAUACUGACGCUGAGGCACGAAAGCGUGGGGAUCGAACAGGAUUAGAUACCCGGGUAGUCC
rnacentral:rRNA from 1 species